rnacentral:tRNA from 1 species
GCCCCGGUAGCUCAGUGGUAGAGCGGCCGCCUUGUAAGCGGCAGGUCGCGGGUUCGACCCCCGCCCGGGGCU